GGUCAUGAACAUUUUGGUUGUAGCAUUUGUCAUCCCAUCACAUACUAGGGUUGUUUUGGUUGAUAUGGCUAGGCUAGGUGGAUGUCCUUUUUCUUCCUCACUGUUCCGUGUGUCUCCACCCGUGAAGUGUACACACAGUAGAAGAAAAUGACCAUUCAGAAAGGAGUGUGUUGAUCUUCAGUCAAGGGUAUAGGAUGGACAUGAAACAUCCCACAAUAUUACAAGGAAUAUGCUACUUUGGUGAUAUUGCAUAUUUGU
rnacentral:snRNA from 1 species